UUCAAAAACAGUGGACAGCCAAGCCCUGAUGGACUUGAGAGUACCUACCUUUAUGUACAUACUUAUAUAUUCAAAACAAAUGCAUGGAAUGGAAACUACAAGAAAGGACUUGGAUUUGCCUGCUCCUUCUGCCUCCUAUUGUCAUGCUUCUGAGGUAAAUAGCAUCUCUGGAGUCCAGCCAGGACCUUGGAUUUUGCUCAUGCUAGAAAUGCCCAGGGUGGUGCUUGGUCCACAGAAGGUGGAUUUGUUCAAGCUGUACUUCUGAAGACACAUGUGGGAUAAUUAACAAGGCAUCUGCAGCAGAGAGUGGAUUUGUCAACAUGCAAAGCUGCUGAUCUGCCCCUGCAUGCUGCUCCCUGCCCUAAGUGUGAGGAGGAUGAACUGCCCUCUUUUCACCUGCACCUCCCUGGAUGGAACAGAGCAUCUCCAUAAUACUUUAUGCAGAAGUAUCACUUCUAUUUAACACCAGAAACCCCAGGCACCAACUUUAAAUUUUAAAUAAAGGAAAAUGUGGACCACUUGCAAUGUUACAAAGCAAAAAGAAACACAAGAGGCAAAUAUUCCAAUCUAUUCUCCACUCUCAGCAUUAACACAACAAAAUAAAACAAAACCUGCAACGACAAUCAGAUUUGUAAAAAUACUAGUAGUCAGAAUCCCCACCUUAUCUUCUCAACAAUUUGGCUUUCCAAAAUCAUUGGUUUUCAUGAGUGUGCAUGUCAAAAGUUAAAUCCCGUUCUCUUGUUACUGUGAGCUGUUUUAGAAAGGGUGGGAAUGUAAGUUCUGAACAUACCUGCUAAAGGUGGCUGUGCAACGCUGACAGUUAGUAACUGUGCACCCUUCAAAGAGGCUGGCUGAGUUGCAGGUGUGCUGAGCUCAACCAUGAUCUGCUGGGAAUGCACAUUCUCAGUGCAGGACAAAUGAAAUUGGUUCUAACUCUGCAAUGCAGCAGAAAAAAGAAAUGGCUAGGCAUGAUGAAUUAUGCCUGAAAUUCCAGCAAUUUGGGAGGCUGAGGCAGAAGGAUGGUUUGAGACCAUUCUAGCAAAUAGAAUGGUCUAUUUCAGACCAGUCUAGGAAAAAAAGUGAGACUUCUGUCUCUACAAAAAAUAAAACUAGCUGGUUAUGGUGGUGCACCUGUAAGUUCCAGCAACUGGGAGGCUGAGGAGGGAGGCUGAGGAGCGCUUGUGCCCAAGAGAAUGAGGCUGCACUAAGCUAUGAUUGUGCCACUGUACUCCAGCCUGGAUGACAAAGUGACACCCUGUCUGGUAAAAUAAAUUACCACGGGCAGAUAAAGUGCUCAGUGAGCCCACACUAAUUUGCCACAGAAGGGUGGAAGCAAAUUCAAGGCUGAAAUCUAGCUCUUCAUUUCCUGAAAUCAUUCAUGCCCACUCUCUCCUGGCAUGAAAUGCUGAUAACCUGGUUUCAAUUUUAAGCUUAAAUUUACAGCAAACAGUGCAGGUAUCUCAGUUCAAUGCCUUGGAACCUCCUCUAAAGAUGAUUCUACUAACACUCAUUUCAGAAGUGAGUGCAAAAUAAUUUUUACAUAAACAACCAAGUAAUCCCACAGCGCCUGCAUACCUAUUAUAACUCAAAAACUACCCUGCACACCUGAGCAUGAUGUUUAAAUACCAAGCCACUGGUAUGUCUGGAACACAUGCACAAAGGAGACGUAAACCCACAGCUUCUAGCACAAACAUCUGCCAACUUAGCUUUCUUGUCACCUGCAACUAAUGGUGGGUGAGAUUGAGUAAUCCCAUGAAAAUAUCAUUCCUACAAAUUUAGUCACUAAAAACAAAAGAUAUAACAAACACACUCUUGUUGACAGUAGGCCUUAUCAAUGUUAUUUGUCACUAAGGCACAAAGGAGUUUCAUCAAUGGACCUUGCUUUUUUGAAACCAGAAAAGUUAGUGGCGGUUUACUGACAGAAUGACAGAGCAAGGGUUUCUCAAAAUCAUCCCCUUAUGCUCCUAACGAGCAUAUUUACCCUCCAGAAAAAAUGAGGCAAUGCUUUCUGGGGGUUAUAAUUUAAAUACACUAAAAUGCAUAAAUCUUACACAUUUAGUUUUUAGCGUUUUAGCAACUGUCUACACCUGUGUAACUACGAUGCAAAACAAGAUAUAGGACAUUUUUAUUAUUUCAGAAAGUUCUCCUGUGCCCUUUUCAGUCAAUCUCCACACUCGAUAGAUAAUUACUGCCCUGACUGCUGUCACCAUAGCUAAGUUUUGACUAUUCCCAAAGUUCACAUAAAUGGAAUGACAAAGAAUGAGUUAUGUCAAAUCUGGCUUCAACAUAAUGUCUUUGAGAUGAAUUCAUGUUGUUACACGUACCUGUAACACAUUCAUUUUAUUUUUGGAAUGUUAUUCCAUUGUAUGAAUAUAUAACAAUUUCUUUAUCCAAUCUCUUGUUUGUGGAUGUUUGGAUUAUUUCCAGUUUAGACCUAUUAUUAAGAAUAAGGCUGCUAUGGACAAGCUUCUACAAGUCUUUUUCGUGGACAUGUUUCCAUUUUUUUCACAUAAACAAGUGGAAGUGGGAUUGCCAUGUUAUUUGGGAAGAUUAUGUUUAGCUUUAUAAGAAACAGCCAAAGAGUUCUCCAAAGUGGCUGUCAGGACAAGGUAAAUGCACAUGCAUUCUAGUUGCUCCAGGUCCUUGCCAGCAUUUGGUAUGGCAUCUUUCUGAUACGAGCCACUCUAGCGGCUCAUGGGGAAAUGGGGCUGUGCAUGAGAUGGGACUACCCUGAUCAACUUUCCCAGUGCCAGUGAGCUACCUCAGACUGAACCUACAUGAGAGGGGUUGCUCUCCACUGACUCAUAGGACAGCCCAAGGUUAUGUGGAGGCAGUGAGUUAUCUCAACUGAUUGCUCAGUCAAUUACAGAUUCAACUCCUCCUUCUAUUCUUUCCCUACUUCUCAAUACUGUACUUUACUAGUCCUUAAACACAUUUUUUUUUUUUUACUUAAAAAAAAGAAGCUCCAGAAAGGAAACUUUGAAGCAAAAUAAGGACUCCCUCUCCCUCCAGAACAUAAAGAAUGAGGUGUGUUUUGUUUGAGUUGGUGGCAACAUUUAAACUCUUGUUUAUCCCCUAGGAGGUAAGGAGAAGAUAUUUUCCAAUUUUCCCAAACAGGGUGUUAUGAGGUAAAGUUCUGUGAGAGAAAGGUGAGGCCCUUAAAUCUGUCAAAUUAUUAACUGAUUUUUCUUCUACAGGUGGUGAUUUUUUGAAUUUCCUAUCUUUGUCUUUAGCACCCAAUUUUAGAGACCAAAUGGUUGGUCUAAUCAAAUAGUUAUUUUGUGUUAUCCAGAAUGACCCCUGCAUUCCACUCUCCAGUAACUUCCUGAAGCUUUUAUCUUGAUGUAAAAACAGGGCAGUUUCCACACCAUUCUCCAGAGGGUGAUGUGAGAAACCGAGGAAGGGAAACAGCAUAUUGCUGCUGAAACAUGUGACUCCAUUCCAAGGUUAGAAUAGAACAGGUUUAAAACUGGUACUGUGUGGUUUAAAGAUAAGCAGCCUGUGCUGUCUUUUAUUUUCAGAAAUAACAUAAAUAAACAACAAUUACUGAACGCAAUGUGCAAUCUCUAUCUUCUGUGUUUCGGGGUCAAUUGUCUAACAGGAGCCACAGGAAGAGCUUCAGAGGCACCCAGAUGCCAAGCCUCAAUUCCCACUGUGACUCUACUCUGGCAGAGGUGAGACUUCACCUUCCAGAAACUAUGCUGGGGGCCUCUGUGUCUGUGGCAUAUUGUUUAUAUUGUGUGUUUAUAGGCAAUUUUAACAAUCACUGUUUCUAGAUUGCAACCCUCCUGAGGCACUGCGCUGACACAGCAAAGUUAUUCCCCUUACUGAAGAGAAAAAUUAGAGGCCUAAACACCACAGAAGCCCUGAUAAUAUGGAAUAUUAGCAUCAAUGUCAGAGCACAGUAUUUAGGACAGAUACUGAUAAAGACAGCAUAGAUGACCACCUCACCUUGUCACCACCUGAGCGAGGAGCCCUUAAAAGAUGGGUUUCCUCCCCGUGAUUACGGCCUGCUGGCUUCUCCAGGACUGGGUUAAGGCACAGCUAAAGCUGUUCUCUUGGCCCUGCAGAGCCAAACCCUGGACCUUUCCAGGAAAUGGAUAAAUACCAUUUCACUUCAUUCAUUCACUGCUGCCUGUGGUGCCUGAAUACAUGCCCUGUGGCAUCAUCUGUGAGUUACCCACACUUCCCACAGCAGAUGCAUAGGGAGGAGGUACUUUACUCACCCUUCCUCUGACAGAAAAGGAUGAAGUCAAGGGCCUGGUAGAGGCACCACUAAGAAAGGCAUCUGAAAGGACCAAAGAGAGUGACCAGCAAGCAUUUUUUGCAAGGCUGAGGAGCUGACAGCUUCCAUGAAAGGCUGGACCACCCAGUGGUGAAAAGCAUCAUCUGGGUUACCUUGUGCUGCCAUAAAACACACCACAGACUUGGUGACUUAAACCACAGAUAUUUAUCUUCUCACAAUCCUGGAGGCUGGAAGUCUGCAAUCACGGUGCCAGCAUGGUCAGGUUCUGGUGAGGGCCUCUUUCCUUCUCACUGUGUGCUCUUUCUUGUGCAUGGAGAGAGAGAGCAUGAACAAGCCCUCUACUGUCCCUCUUAGAAGGGCACUAAUCCCAUAAUAAGGCAUCCACCCUCCUGACCUCGGCUAACCCUAGUUAAGUACUCAAGGCCCUAAUCUCAAUACCAUCACAUUGGUGGUUAGGGCUGUAACAUUGGGAUAUGGGGCAAGACACAAACAUUCAAUCCAAAGCAAGCAUGUCCACACUGUUGGGACUCCAAUCCCACUUUUGUCAUUGAGUCAUUAUUUAACCACUGUACCUCAGUUUUGUCCUCUUUAAAAUAAGGAAAAUAUACCUUGUAGGGUUACUGUGAGACUUAAAUGAAUUACUAAAUGUAAAAAACUUUAUAAGAUUCUUGGCACAUGGUAACUGCCAUACCUAUUACCCAUAACUAACUGAUUUUUUACACAAUUUACUAUAAUAUAACCACAAUUCUUAUUCAAACAUCCUGGACCUAGCUAACAGUGACACGUGAUGAUUUCUGAAUGAGUUUUGAGAAGAAACUGAGUCCCAAAGAGUGCAACUUUCUCCCACUGUCAGAAGGCCUACACACCACUCUUCUCAGAGAGGUGGAAGAAUUGAGCUGUGCUUUGGAACUCUCGAUUACAUCAGGAACAGAUUGCUGAUUGGUGACAGAUAGCAAGUGUUAAUAGUGAUGUUGGUGCUGAGACAAAGCUGACAUCUCUUCAUCAUGCUCCAAUACAAGCAUCAUUCCCUUGUGCCCAAUGCCGAUUGGCUGCCUUCUAUUUUAAUUAAUUGAUGCUGGUAAACUUUCUCUUACAAUGCGGUGGCAAGUCCUGCUUCUUAUCUUUACAGAACUUCACUCAGGACACACUCAGAUGUUGCUCUUUGAUCAUGAAGGAUGUUCACCAGCAACUUAGUGCCCAAAUAGACAAGAGAAAGGGGGGGUGAUGAUUGCUCAUGAGAAGUGUUGUUCACAUAGCUGCACAUCAAACUGCUGAACUGGGUGCCUGCCUCAGUCAGGGCCCCAGGAAGAAGGGGGUGAUUCUCAGCCUAAGUUGUGCUCCAGAGCCUCAGCUGCUUCUGCAGGGCUGGGGAGGGAAUAAGGCCACCUCCAUUACACAGAGUGGAACUGCCCAGGCCAUUUGCUUAUUUGAUCCUUAUCACUGAGAAAAGGAAUUUCAGAGCUGGAAGUCCUGGAAGUCCUGGAAACCAUCUUGGCACUCAGUCUUUUCUGUAGCCUCCAAGAUGGCAGGAAUCAUAAGCUGGAGACAUCUAGUUAUUGUUGCUGCUGUUGAUGAAGACUCCUCUCGCCCCAACAGUGGGCCUCACAGGUGCUAAAGACAAGUGGUCACCCACAGGGCUUAAUGGCAGUGACCCUGGGAGGGACAGCGUCCCUAGCCUCUACUUUUCUACAUGGAAUUAAUGAAAAUGUAGAGAAUAGAAGACACAGAAUGUAUAUACACAUGAACAUAUCCUGAAUAAGAGCUAUUUUAUCUCACUGAAAAGUUCGUAUCAAUCACUUAUUGGGGCAUUCAGAGCAUCCUUUGAAAGGCCAGUGUGACCUGAAGAUUCAUGGAUCCUAAAUUAGAGUACUGCCUGUGCGUAGCUGCAUUAAACCAAAUGAUCAAGAAUAUCAAGAUACAUCUUCCUGGAUCUUCAAUCCCACUUAAAGAUUUGGAGAACAUAUCAUUUUAUAUUAAAACCAAUAACAUUUUCAGAAUACAUUUGAAUAAUUUCUUUUUACCUAAAAACAGAGUCUUUAAAUAAGUAUCAUUUUUGAGAUGCAUUGCCAUAGGAUACAUACUGAGGUGUCUUCUCUUUCUCUUACCUAUUAGAGGCAUUUCUGGGCAAGUUUGAGGAGCAUGGAAUUAACAGUCAUCAAUGCAUUGCUGGAUUUGAAAAUGAUUUAUAUCAAUCAGCAGAGGACCUCCACUGGUGAUGUCAGCAGGAUCUGAGGAUGUUCAGGUAGACAUGCUAUGCUUUGAAUCUCCAAACUUGAACGACAUUAUGACUGUGCUCAUAGCCAGGCUUCCCUUGCUUGUGGUCAUUGCUGUGGAUCAAGGUUGUUUUGCCUUCCAUGCAGUGGAUUUGCUGAGGUGCUUCUCAAUCUGUAUCUCAGAAUUGAGAUGUAUGAGAAAGAUUCUCAGGAGGGGAGAGAUAUCCUCUUGGGGACACGACCAUUGGCUUCCUUGGCCUCAUUGAGUAGCAGUGAAUAUGGACCAGGGGAGGAGAGCGGCAGGACUCACAGGGAUGGUCUCAGCAGUGGAGGAUGGUGGCAAAGAGUGAGGACUUAAGAUUCAGAUGAACCUUGCCUGGAACUGUGCCUCUGUGCCUUAGACUGCAACACUUCAGAGGUUAAUUAACUUCUCUGUGCCUCACUUCCCCCUCUGUAAAACCAAGACAGCAGUAGAACUCACAGGGCUGCCCUGCCUAGCACAGUUAGCUGUACUCCUACUUCCACACAUUCCAUUUCACCAAAAGCCCAAGAAGCUAUGAAAUGAAAACUUCAAAACUAAGCUAUGUUUCUUCGUUCCUCAAAUUCUACUUCUCCACCCACAAAUAUGUGUACACUGAUCUUAAAACAGCUCUGGCUGUAAAAUCACUUUGCUGGAGUCAAUGAGGUAAGAGGCUAGAACACAAUACUAGGGAUCUGACCCCUGCAGGCUGGCCAUGAUCCAUCCCUCAGGCAGCCUUCCCAGAGCAGAAAAAUCCAGGGAGCCACUUAAUGAGACGUUUUCUUUAAUGUUUUCUUUAACUCUGACAAUUGCAACUGAAAUUUAGCAGGAGCUUGUAGCCCUCCAAAAUUCUUUCUCUUUCUUUCUCUCUCCCUCUCUCCCUCUUGCUGCUACUCUUUUUACUGCUUUUAUGCACCAAACUUCAUGGUUUUUUUUUUAAUGGAAUGAUGUUCUUGGGGAAGAAAAGAUUUAAUAAAGAUAUCAUGGUAACACCAAUGAAAAUUGUAAAAAAGUCCAAAUUUAAAAGUUAAAAUCUUGGUAUCUACUUUUAACAUUGAUUUAUUUCCUUUAUAAAAUGAAUAAUGUUACAACCACUACAACCAUGCCUUUCUUCCGCCAGCGGUUUUUGAACGCUUAUUGCACGUCAACCUCUUGUUUACUUCUCAGAGACACAAAUAUGAAGAAAGCACAGUCCCCAAAGCUUACUGAUAGGCACAGGCUCUACACAUCUGACAGAAUGGGAUGUGUAUCUGAGACUAGUGAUUCAUUUAUACACACACCCUUAUGGGUGCACAGGAGGAUUCACCAGCACACCCUGCAAUCACUCCAAACUUCCAACAGAAGUUUUCCAAAUCAUAAACACUUUCAAAUUUAGUCUAAAAUCAACCCUCACUUUCUCCCCCUUUUCCCUAAUACUUCCUAUUUUCAUCAAUGACACACUGCCCUCAGGCAUAAGUGAAAGGUGGGUCUUGGUUUCAGUUUCUACUCUCUUCUAUCCAUACCCCUUCCUGGGUAUUCCCACAUAUAUUAUUUCAAAACCCUUGCAAUAGAGAUACUAAUUAUUCCCAUUUCACAGAUGAAGCAAAUAAGGCUCAGGGGUUCAAUCCAAUGUCAUAUAGUAAAGGGCCGAGGCAAGAUUUGAAUCCAGGUCUCUCCAAUGCUAGAGUCUGUGACUGUUUCAUGGUAUCUCACACA
rnacentral:lncRNA from 1 species